rnacentral:rRNA from 1 species
UGGGGAAUUUUGGACAAUGGGGGAAACCCUGAUCCAGCCAUCCCGCGUGUGCGAUGAAGGCCUUCGGGUUGUAAAGCACUUUUGGCAGGAAAGAAACGUCAUGGGUUAAUACCCCGUGAAGCUGACGGUACCUGAAGAAUAAGCACCGGCUAACUACGUGCCAGCAGCCGCGGUAAUACGUAGGGUGCAAGCGUUAAUCGGAAUUACUGGGCGUAAAGCGUGCGCAGGCGGUUCGGUAAGAAAGAUGUGAAAUCCCAGGGCUCAACUUUGGAACUGCAUUUGUAACUACCGGGCUAGAGUGUGUCAGAGGGAGGUGGAAUUCCGCGUGUAGCAGUGAAAUGCGUAGAUAUGCGGAGGAACACCGAUGGCGAAGGCAGCCUCCUGGGAUAACACUGACGCUCAUGCACGAAAGCGUGGGGAGCAAACAGG